rnacentral:rRNA from 1 species
UGGGGAAUAUUGGGCAAUGGGGGAAACCCUGACCCAGCAACGCCGCGUGAGGGAAGAAGGUCUUCGGAUUGUAAACCUCUGUCGCAGGGGACGAAAGAAAUGACGGUACCCUGUGAGGAAGCCCCGGCUAACUACGUGCCAGCAGCCGCGGUAAUACGUAGGGGGCGAGCGUUGUCCGGAAUUACUGGGCGUAAAGGGUGCGUAGGCGGCAGCCUAAGUUACAUGUGAAAUCCCCGGGCUUAACCUGGGUGGUGCAUGUAAUACUGGGCAGCUAGAGUACAGGAGAGGGAAGCGGAAUUCCUAGUGUAGCGGUGAAAUGCGUAGAUAUUAGGAGGAACACCAGUGGCGAAGGCGGCUUUCUGGACUGACACUGACGCUGAGGCACGAAAGCGUGGGGAGCAAACAGG